GGGGGUGACUAGUGACAGUAGUGAGAGAGGGGGUGACUAGUGACAGAGUGAGGGAGCGGGUGACACAGUGACAGAGUUAGGGAGGGAGUAACUAGUGACAGAGAGAGGGAUGGGGUGACUAGUGACAGUCACCCCCCCUCACUCUGUCACCAGUCAUCCCCUCACUCUGUCACUAGUCACCCCUUCCCUCCCUCACUCUGCCACUAGUCACCCAUUCCCUCACUCUGUCACUAGUCACCCAUUCCCUCACUCUGUCACUAGUCUCCCAUUCCCUCCCUCUGUCACUAGUCUCCCCCUCUCCUUCCCUCUG